rnacentral:rRNA from 1 species
UAGGCUGCAACUCGCCUACACGAAGCUGGAAUCGCUAGUAAUCGCGGAUCAGCACGCCGCGGUGAAUACGUUCCGGGCUUGUACACACCGCCCGUCACACCAUGAGAGUCUGUAACACCCAAAGCCGGUGGGAUAACCUUUAUAGGAGUCAGCCGUCUAAGGUAGGACAGAUGAUUAGGGUGAAGUCGUAACAAGGUAGC